rnacentral:rRNA from 1 species
GACGAACGCUGGCGGCGUGCUUAACACAUGCAAGUCGAACGGAAAGGCCCUGCUUUUGUGGGUUGCUCGAGUGGCGAACGGGUGAGUAACACGUGAGUAACCUGCCCUUGACUUUGGGAUAACUUCAGGAAACUGGGGCUAAUACCGGAUAUGAGCUCCUGCUGCAUGGUGGGGGUUGGAAAGUUUCGGCGGUUGGGGAUGGACUCGCGGCUUAUCAGCUUGUUGGUGGGGUAGUGGCUUACCAAGGCUUUGACGGGUAGCCGGCCUGAGAGGGUGACCGGCCACAUUGGGACUGAGAUACGGCCCAGACUCCUACGGGAGGCAGCAGUGGGGAAUAUUGCAGAAUGGGCGGAAGCCUGAUGCAGCAACGCCGCGUGCGGGAUGACGGCCUUCGGGUUGUAAACCGCUUUCGCCUGUGACGAAGCGUGAGUGACGGUAAUGGGUAAAGAAGCACCGGCUAACUACGUG